UUUUUGCCAUAUUUAAAUAAGCGGAGGAAAAGAAACUAACAAGUGAUUCCCCUAGUAGCGGCGAGUGAAGCGGGAAUAGCUCAAAUUUUAAAUCUCUGCAUCUUGUGCAGCGAAUUGUAGUCUAAAGACGGUGAUCAAGGCUGGCGGGCCAGAUAGGUUCCUUGGAAUAGGACGCCACAGAGGGAGAGAGCCCCGUUAUCUGGAGCAAAGUCUAAAUGAGAGCCAGUCAC
rnacentral:rRNA from 1 species